GGGAGCUUGCUCCCUGAAGUCAGCGGCGGACGGGUGAGUAACACGUGGGCAACCUGCCUGUAAGACUGGGAUAACUCCGGGAAACCGGGGCUAAUACCGGAUAAUUCUUUUCCUCUCAUGAGGAAAAACUGAAAGAU
rnacentral:rRNA from 1 species